AAUUUGGCUCCCCCCAGGAGGCGGAGCUUGCCGGGCUCUUCUCUCCUCCGUCCUCCCAGCGCCCGGAGUGCGGCGCGGGAACUGACGUUACCGAUUCGGAUCCCGAUCCCGAAAAGCGGUAGAAACAAACUUCUUAACACCGAUUCGUAGAUGUUGAAAAGGGCAUUCUUCUUUAUUCAGCGCACUGGACGUUCGGAGGAUAGCCCCUCUAAUCGAACGCGCCAAAUGGCAGAUGGACAGGACUUUUUAUUACACGAGAAUUCGCCUUGAGGAGCAAUAACCGGAGGGUUCCGCUGCCGCCCCUCGUGGGGAUUGGCACCAGGGGCAUCUGUGCCCCGCACCCGUAUCGCCCGCUGACCCCCGGAGGGCCGCUCCAGGAGACGGCGGGUUUGGAAUAUGGUUUGUACUCGCUCUCCUGUGGGAGCAGUGGGAGACGUCGUCUGUGGUCGACUGUGGUGGAGCUGCAUCGGUUUUCCUGGAUGACUUGCUGUGUGUUGUGGUGGUGGCUUUUCUUUCUGUCCACCUACGUAAGCCAAUUUCACAUUUUUUCCAAGCAUUCUUGCUGCCUCUUCUGCCCUGUGCACCCACAGAAACCUGAGUUGGUAGGUGCCUCAGAGGGGUCUUAAAGAGCUUGAUUCCUGUGCUGCACAGCCCUGGGUGCAAGCUCCCCGCUCUCCACCCUGUAAUGAGUGAUUUAACUGCUCUGCUUUUCCCCCCAAAUCUGGGUGGAUUGAGGACAAGUAUCUUAAGUGGUGUUUCUCAACUUAAUCAGGGGCAUCUUGUUUGUUCCUACCCCCCUGUACUUUUUUAAGAGAUGCACCAUAUUAGUCUUGUUUUAAGAGCAUUAACUGCCUUUUAAAUGUGUGUUUUACUUGUUUUGUGUGUAGCACAUGCGCACACACCCCUUUAUCUCCACACAUUGAUCUUGGCUGUUGGCAAAACCCACUUCAUAUCCCAAUGCCUUCAAUAAAGGACUCUGCAGCAAUGCUGGAAUUGGUGUG
rnacentral:lncRNA from 1 species